GGGAGAGCAGGCUGGCAGGAGAGAGCAGGUUAUUGGGGGGGAGAGCAGGCUGGCAGUGGGGUAUUAAGGAGAGAGCAGGUUCUUGGGGGGGGGAGAGCAGGCUGGCAGUGAGAGAGCAGGUUAUUGGGGGGGAGAGCAGGCUGGCAGUGGGGUAUUAAGGAGAGAGCAGGUUAUUGGGGGGAGAGCAGGCUGGUGGGAGCAGGAUGACCGGGGACUGGAUUGAGGGAGAGCAGACUCAGGCAGAGC